UGAUAUGAUUUCAUGAGCCCGUUGUAUCUGUUGUUUGCCCAUUUACCACAACUAGUCCCCUGUUGCGGCAAGUGACAAUCAGUGAAUGUAACCGAAGUACAUCCUGGUCUGAGGAUGUGCGCGAACAUUCUACAGGUCAUGACCUGACCAAGAUCCAGGACGUUUACACUGACUUAGAUACUACUUCCCUGAAUAUAUUGCAUUGCUCCGUCCCGAACUAGUUUGAUGAAGGCUUCUAACACCUGUCAACUGCGUACCCGAGGCAGGACACUACACGAUACCCGGACAAGGAGCUUCACUUGCUGCCCGUCGUCUGCCUUCUCCGAUAACAAACUGGAAAACACAACCUCCGCCGUGGAGCUGUCAUCUUUGGUCUCCUUCUCCUGAUCGCGGUUACAGAGACGAGUGGAAGGCCCGCAAAUCAAAAUCGAAACAAACCAAGAAGCGGGCAGGUAAACAGGACGAGACAAGACAGGAACCACCAGCAUUCAAACUGCAAACCGUUGCUUACAGCAGCUUUAAAGCACGCCCAGGCACUGAACAGUUCCAUACAGAAUCGAAUCAACUAUACCGCAAGCAAACUGGAAACAGAAUUUAAAAAACAGAUUCCAAAGAAUCGGUACUCCAAUGAGACAGAAUGUAGUGUCCCAGACAGCAAGCGCUUAAUAUUUUUCCGUAAUUGUUUCACUCACUUGAAUAACUCUGACAAAUGCCCUCCCAAGAUGCAUCGCGCGCUAUCACAUGUCAUCAACUCUCUGAAAGACCUCAACAAGGGCCUUCGUAUCCCCAAGACAAACCAGAAAAAUGAACCCAGCUGCAACUUUGAAGUCACGAAUGCUGAUUUAGCUGGUGAGUACGCUCAGUUCUAUUCCGAAAAACUUUUGGACAAUUUGAAAAAGCUGCGGUGUCAAGAAGAGAAGCAGAACGGAAGGAAUAAAAGAAAAGAAAAGAACAAAGGAGGAAAGGAAAGUACAGAAGGAAGAAAAAGAAAACGGAGAAGAAAGAAUAAAUCCCCCACAAGCAGUGUUAGCCCAGUGUAAAAUUGUUGUCACUUCAACGGAAAAUGAGAAAAAAGCUCGAAAGCUAAAAGAUGUGCAGACAUGGUCGUUUUCUACAAACAUUGGGGUUUACUGCAAUCAAUGUUAAUCUUUCUCAAAGGUCUUUAUUUAAAGCGCCAUCUGCUGGUUGACUGCACGACUGUGUCACGUGGUGUAGUGCAGACCCUAGGGACCCUGACGUCGUCAAGCCUGGUGUGGACAUUGGCUGUAGGGACCCAGCCGCUCGUAUUGCUGACUUCCAGUGUGGAAGUGGUACAGUGAUCUCAUUAAUACAAACAAAUUAUCUGGACAACAUUGAGAGUGAAAGAACAGUGCCAAGGCUGUAUAAAUGGAGAAAAGACUGAAAGUUUUUCGUUGAUUUUACUGCUUGAAAUUUUGUUUUAUAGGGAAGACUAAUUUUUUCCCUGAUUUACAUAAUUUUUAAAAUGUGCAAUAAGUAGAAGACAGGGCUUAAUAAUGACUACAUUACUCCAUUAUCAUUAACAGAAGUAUAUAUAUGUGUGUGUGUGAGAGAGACAUAUUUUCAAAGCUGCUCUAGUCCAAAGAUUUAAUCCGGUUCUUUUAUGUAGAACUGGCAAACUUUGUGUCAAAUGUUUCACAGCACUUCUCUAACUUCCACAUAUGUUACAUGUGAACUGUGUUUUUUUCUCCUUUUGUAUCCCAUUUCUUAUAUUCACUUACUCAGUCCCUCCGUUGUGUCAUUCACCCAGACCUCUGUGACACUGCGCGAGUGUUCUUCACCUCUCUCAUGAUUGCUUUUGUAAAUAAUCUUUCGGAUUGCAAAUAUUCAUCUUGAUUUCCAGCACAACUGAAAUGUAACAUUUACAUUGAUUGUUGGUCAUUGUGUACAUUGAGAAAAAUACAUUUACGUUUAUGUGGCUUGAAGACAAGGAGAGGGCUUCUCCUUGCUCGUUGCAUCAUUACUACACGCUCACCAUGUCAUUAUGUAUGUGCUAUGCACAAAUUCUUACAGUGUAUGUCAUUAAGACAAUAAAGACUAUAAACAACGCUAUCUGAACUUGACUGAACAGGUGUUUGGUGUCGACAGGGCAGAGAGGAUAAGAACGAACGAGCAAAACCGAUAAUUACUGACAUUUGUGUGUGUGUGUGUGUUUUAAUGUCACCUAUAUGUAUGGGUAUAAUUAUAGACAGAUACAGGCACAUCUGUAUGUGUCUAUGUAGGUAUACAUAUGUAUAGGUAUACUUUUAUAUACGUGUUAUACA
rnacentral:misc_RNA from 1 species